GCGUAAUUGGUUUAGUGGUAAAAUUCUCCGUUGCCAUCAAUAACGUCGGGGAGCCCUGGGUUCGAUUCCCAGAUUACGCA
rnacentral:tRNA from 1 species